rnacentral:lncRNA from 1 species
GGACCUAGAGGGUCAAGAGGUACAACGGGCCCAUCUGGAUACCCAGGCCAUCCAGGCUUGCCUGUAAGAUCACCACAGUUAUACAGCCUUGCCAUAGGAUAUGUGUUCAUUCUUGUCUACCUGUUUUAGAACUUGCCUUAAUAUGAAUCAAAGUCUAAAAGUAGUUUUUGAGGCAGGUGAUAAGUUAGACUUUUGCUUUACCUUACGAGUUUGGAAGCUGAGGAAUAUGUUGUUCCUUGCCAUGUCUGCAUGAACAUGCUUCAUCCUGGUCAUCUGUGGUGAUGGAGAAAUGCUCCUAGUGCUCUCUCCUUAAUCCCUUUUCCCGAGACCACCUGUGGGAUACAAGGGAGGGGGAAACCAUAGGUCAGCCCUCCUAAAAGCAGUGACCAAGUGAAGUAAAUUGCACUUUGGAAUAAGUGCACCCCAAGAGAAAAUUCUGUCUCUAGGUUCUGUAAGCAAGAGGAAAUAAUUUUCAAAAGCUGUCUCUAAAUCAGACAUAUUAACUUGUCUUCAUUCUCUUUUAAAGGGUAUUCCAGGUUACCCUGGUUUACCAGGUGAACAGGUAGGUAAUAACUUCUGAAGCUUUUAGUGAAAUAAUAAUUUAUACAACUGUUUGAAAUGUUCCUUUUGUUCAUUUGUUACCAAGUUUUUCAAAAGAGUUACUUGAUUAAAUGCUAAUGUUAGUAUUUUCUGAUCAUGCUGAAACUGUGUACAUUCUUUAUCAAUUAGGGAAAUCCAGGGAUUGGAGUGGAUGGACAAAAGGGGGAGCCGGGCGACAUCGGACUGCCUGGGCCGCCUGGGUUACCGCUGUUAGUUGGACCUCCUGGAGCUCAGCUGUUCAAAGGACAAAAGGGCCAAAAAGGAUUACCUGGGGUAACAGGAGACAGAGGGCCACGUGGACCCAAAGGCAUACUUGGGAGAGGAGAAAAGGGUGA